rnacentral:rRNA from 1 species
UCGAGAAUCAUUCACAAUGGGGGAAACCCUGAUGGUGCGACGCCGCGUGGGGGAAUGAAGGUCUUCGGAUUGUAAACCCCUGUCAUGUGGGAGCAAAUUAAAAAGAUAGUACCACAAGAGGAAGAGACGGCUAACUCUGUGCCAGCAGCCGCGGUAAUACAGAGGUCUCAAGCGUUGUUCGGAAUCACUGGGCGUAAAGCGUGCGUAGGCGGUUUCGUAAGUCGUGUGUGAAAGGCGGGGGCUCAACCCCCGGACUGCACAUGAUACUGCGAGACCAGAGUAAUGGAGGGGGAACCGGAAUUCUCGGUGUAGCAGUGAAAUGCGUAGAUAUCGAGAGGAACACUCGUGGCGAAGGCGGGUUCCUGGACAUUAACUGACGCUGAGGCACGAAGGCCAGGGGAGCGAAAGGG